GGGAGCUUGGCUCAGUUGGAAGAGCGCAGGUCUCAUGCUGCUGUAUGACCCGGUGCCCAAAGCACCAGGGAUAUCCUGAGGUCGUGAGUUCGAGCCUCACAGUUCCCA